AAACAAGUCAAUGAGCAGUCCUAAUGUGAUCUGAAUGAGGUAUUUCUUUCUUUAGAAAGCAUCCAGGGGCCCCAGGAUAAAGUUCAAGGUCGCAGGUCAGUGCACAGGGCUCCUCACGACCUGACUCCACCCAGCUUACCAAGUGCACCUCCUCUACGCACAAAUGAAGGCAAGGAGCCGGACCUUUAAAUAAGCAUGCCAGAAUUUUGUAUAUCUGAAUGAGUAUCCUCUCUUAUGGCAGCAGUGUGUUGUUCUCGAUGUUUGUUCCAGAGGUCGCUGUUGCUGUAGAUGUCAGCGUCAGAGGAUUCCCCUGGUGGAUUUUAUACCCUGAGCGAGGGGCGUAGGAGCAACGUCCUUUUGGCCAGGGAACACUGUUGGAGAACAUAACCCGGUAAUCGCAGUGGGGAGAGGAAAUUUGGACACAGACGUGAUACGGAGGGAAGAUGAUGUGAAGACACAUGGAGAAGAUGCCACCUACAAGCCAAGGAGAAAGGCCUGAACAGAUCCUUCUUUCAUGCCCUUCAGAGGGAACCAACCCUGCUGACACCUUGAUCUUGGACUUCCAGCCUCCAGAGUUGUGAGACAAUACAUUUCUGUUGUUUAAGCCCCCUGUCUGUGGUACAUUGUUAUGGCAGGCCUGGCAACCAAUACAGUACUCUAGUGGACAUUUCCUACGAAUGAGGACACUUCCCUACAUGGCCAACCAUGCAAGAUCAAAACCAGGAAAUUGACACUGAGUCCUCUUUUGGACCUGGCUUUCUGACUGGGCCAGCCUCUAUACCUGGUAAGCAAUUUUACCUGGUAAGUUCAUGAUGCUUCUGUCUUGGAAGCAGAACUUGAGACAUUGUCGUGGUGGAUAAUGGUGAUGUCAGGACAGACCAUUUGUGGUAGGUCUGGUGGGUAGGUGGUGGCCGUUGCUGAGCUCCUAUUUCACACAGUUGCCCAGAGAAUUGGAACUAUGCUUUCCACAUGCAGAGAAACAGUGCUAGGACCCAGAGAGCUACUCCUAAGCAUCACAGAAUUUUGGUCCCUCGAGCAAUGGCUCAGUCAAGAUGGGCCACACAGGUUCAGAACAGUUGAACGGCUCUGCAGCUACAUAAGGUGGUGCUAUGAUCUCUAAAACCUGGAGCUCAUGCCAGAUGGUGUAUUCUGUCCUGCCCCCACCCCUGGGACUCCCAUUUCUAGUGUGUCACCCCUCCUUCCUCCACAAGACGUAUCCCUAGCUAGUUAUAGGAUACUGUUGAGCUAUCAGAUGAAGUUAAUUGAAGUUGGAGAAGCACAGCUCCCCACCACUGCCCACCUUGUGUCUUUAUUGGCAGUGUGGCUAUCUGUGAGGAAUGCAGACGUUUCCCAGCCUGGAGUGCAAUUUACAUGUCCCUCUCUCUCUCCCUGUCUCGUUCUCUCUCUCACCUACACUACUGACCUGCUGAAUGUUUAUUGAACAUACCAUUAUUUAUUAGCAUUGCAAAUGGCAGUUAUGCUGAUGCUGAAGAUGGAGGCACUGACAUCCUUGGUGCAGACGACAGAACCCUUGGCCUAAUACUGGCAGCUGCAGCAUGGGCAGCAACACAAGCACCGGACAUCUUUUGUUUGUCCUUCCAGAUCUGUUCUCUGUCCUUCUCCACCCUGCUCUGUGACCUGGGAGCCUGACCCAUAUGGUCCAUUUGAGUGGUGUGCUGGAGCCCGUGAGAGCUGAUUAUGUGCAUCUCUUCUUAGCUCCAUGUUUGGUGACCAUGGUAGGAAUAUUUGCACCAUGGAAAUUGGCAAACACUAUAAAUAAGUGUGCACACACGCAGAGAGCUUGUUAAAUAUUUAUUUACCAGCACACCACAGGAGCUAUGUUAAUAUAUCAAUAGCCUCCCUUGCCCCUUUGGCUUCUGGUUGGGUUUGGACAUUGGGAGGCACCUGAAGAGGGUUGAAGGGUGGGAAGAGAGUGUAGUCAGAGUAUCCGUUCUCCUGGCUCCGUCCCUAACGGGUUCCCCCAGCUUGGGUGCCUCCCUCUACAAAGUCUUCAGCUGCUGUCAGGCACCCUCUCCACAUCCAUCCUCUCUGGAAUACAGACACUCCUUGCCUGUCCCUCUUCAGCCCUAUGAGGGGUGCUGGCUCCGGGCACCACGUCAUCUCUCCCUCGCUUCCCUAAACCCUACCUACACUGAUAGACCCUUCAUGACACUCCUCUAAUAACCCAUUUGAGUGUGUGCCACUUCUUUCCCUCCAUGACCCUGACUGAUACGAAGCCUAACUAUGUUCAGUCGUGUGGGACUGCUUGCUUGUGUCCUGGGUGCAUUUCCUGGGUCUCCAUUUAGAUACUAGGUUCCAAGAGCAGUGGUUUCAAACCCUUUAUGGCCUUGCUUGGGAGGUUUUCUUCAAGUGAAAUCUUUUCUGAAAACUCAAUAUAUACAUUAGAUAAAGACUCUUUUUGUAAAAAAAUUUUUUGCUGAGGAAGAUCUGCCCUGACCUAACGUCUAUCCCAGUCUUCCUCUGUUUAUGGGCUGCCAACACAGCAUGGCUGCUAACAGAGUGGUAUAGGUCCGAGCCUGGGAACUGAACCUGGGAUGUUGAAGUAGAGUGUGCUGAACUUAACCACUAGGCCACUGGGGCUGGCCCAAAAGAUUCUUGUCUUAAGUGGAGUAGAAGUGAGGUGCUGCCUGCUUCCUGUCCUCCCCUCCUCAUCUCCCAUGGGCCAUGGAUGCCCUUCACUGGAACCCCGAGGAUCCGAGAAGCACGAUGUAAAUACCCAGUCCUAGAAGACAGACUAUGGUGUACGUUUCCCAGGCGCCUAGAGAGAUGUGCAUAACCCUCAGGCGUGUUUUCAAGCUACUGUUUCCAGAAUGCCUGCUGUGUGCCAGGCCCUGUUCUAGUGCUUUAUGUCAGUUAGUUCACUUAAUCCUCCCAGCAGCCCUGGUGGAGCUGAUGAAGUGCCUUCAUUAUCCACAUCGUGUGAACAGGGAACCCCAGAGCAGUGUGGGUAAUCAUUGCCCAGGACCACAUGGCUGGUCUAGCUACAGAGUUAGCUGCAGAGCUGUGUUCUGAUGCCCUCUGCAUGCGCUCCUAAAUAUGUGUUUGAGUGAUUAGAUGAGGAGCAAGUGAGCUCAGGUGUGAGGAAAACCUCACAGCAUCAGAAUCCAGCUGAGGAACCCUGCCUGCCCUGUGGAUUUCCUCCAUGGCUUCCCCAGGCUCCAUCUCUGACAGCUCACUCACAGGGAGACGGUCCCUGAUGUGGAAGGAGGAAGGUGCUGCUGCUCUGAAAUGUGCCUGAGGAGAUGUGCUGUCCCUCAGCCGGCGACACAGAUGCAGGAAGAAAGGAGCCAGCUUCUCAGGCUGCCGCAGGCCCAGGGACGCAUCUUCCUGAAGACACUGCAAGCUUGAGGCCUUCGAACCGCGGCUCUCGGGACUGAGCCAUCAGUACCUGCGAAGUUUUGUCUCUGGGACUUCGAUAGCACCUCCAGUCAGACAUGUUAAAAAACAAAAUAACAAAAGCCAAGCAAACCCCACACCACCCGGAGGUUGUAUACAAGUCUCAAAUUUCUGAUCUGCCGUACAUCCAGAAGUGACGUCAAACGUCAUUUUACAAACGCUUUAUCCAUUUCUCAAUUAGGAGUUCUCAAAGAUGUCGAGACCAAGAGUAUCUGAAUAAUACAAAAACCCCACUUCCUUUCACUAUUUUUCCUUUCCUCAGGUAGAAAAACAAAUCGUUAUGAGAAUGACUGGGAGAAGUCAGUGGGGUGAGGCUUGGCCUUUAUUAAGUAGCAGAACUGAAUUAUUAAUUCAUGUGAGGAAUGAAAGUACAGUCUCUUAUACCCUAAAUGUUUGGACCUCAAAGCCCAGCCCACACGUUUCCUGCGAGGAACACUGGCUACACGAUUUGUAGGGCCCGGUGCAAAAUGAAAAUGAGGCACCCCUUGCUUAAAAUUGUUCAGAAUUUAAGACAUCAACAGCAGAGCUUUCAAACCCAGUGCACGGCCCGCUGGAGUGAGGAGCCCUGGGUGGACGUCCGUGGAGCUGGCCCGCUUGGGAGCGGUGACCAGCAUUUGAGCCCUGGGAGAAAGGGAAAGGUAAACCUUCUACUCUACCAGUGGAUGCCCAAGAAAGAAGCAACCUUGUGCACCAGGUCACACCAAAGAAGGCUGGGGUCAGACCACCACUCCCAAUGCACCCCCUUCAUGUCUGUGUUUGGAAUAAGAACUCCAGCCCCCACCCACUGAACCAGUGUCUGUGUCACCAGUGGAUGAGACCCAAUUUCUGGAAUAAAGAGGAAAGGAUCUGUGUCAGAGGUUUGUCACCUCCUUUUUUAAUACACUUGAAUUUUUAGAGCAGUUUUAGGUUUGCAGCAAAGUUGAGAGGAAGGUGCAGAGAUUUCCCAUAGACCUCUUGCCUACACACAUGCAUAGUCUCCCCCAUUAUCAACAUCCUCCAGCAGAGCGGUCCAUUUGUUACAAUUGAUGAACUUAUAUUGACACGUCAUUAACACCCAGACUCCAUGGUUUACGUUAGGGUCAUGCUUGGUGUUGUCCAUUCUGCAGGUUUGGACAAAUAUAUGAUGUCACGUGUCCAUCAUUACAGUAUCAUACAGAACAGUUUCACUGCCCAAAAUCCUCUGCUCUGCCUGGUUAUCCUUCCUUCCUCCUAAUGAUACUUCAGCUAUUUUUUGGUGCCAUGGACUCCUUUGUCAGUCUGGUGAAGUCUUUGGUCAUCUUUCCAAAAUAAGAUUUUUAAUGCAUAAAAUACAAUAAUAACUCAAGUACAAAAGGAAGUCAUACACUAAAUAAAGUUAUGAAAACAUUAAAAAACAAAAUCAUGCUGGUAAUCCGUUUGCCCCUUUAUUAGC
rnacentral:lncRNA from 1 species